CUGAUGGGAUGACUUAGUGGCGGACGGGUGAGUAACGCGUGAGGAACCUGCCUUUCAGUGGGGGACAACAGUUGGAAACGACUGCUAAUACCGCAUGACACAUGAAUGGGGCAUCCCAUUGAUGUCAAAGAUUUAUCGCUGAAAGAUGGCCUCGCGUCUGAUUAGCUAGUUGGUGAGGUAACGGCCCACCAAGGCGACGAUCAGUAGCCGGACUGAGAGGUUGAACGGCCACAUUGGGACUGAGAUACGGCCCAGACUCC
rnacentral:rRNA from 1 species